CGAGCCACCAAGCCCGCCUGGUGGAUGGCUCGGCUCGGGCGCCGACGAAGGGCGUGGCAAGCUGCGAUAAGCCCGGGGGAGGCGCAGGCAGCCGUCGAUCCCGGGAUCCCCGAAUGGGACUUCCUGCCCCAUUUGGGGCGCUCCCGGCAGGGAGCGGGAACGCGGGGAAAAGAAACAUCCGAGUACCCGCAGGAAAAGAAACCAACAGGGAUGCCGGGAGUAGGGGCGACCGAAACCGGCACAGGGCAAACUGAACCCUUCGAGGAAACUCGAAGGGGAUGUGGGGUUGCAGGGCCCCCAACACAGACCCACACUGGGAAGCCGAAGUCCCCUGGAAUGGGGCGCCAUAGAGGGUGAAAGCCCCGUAGGCGUAACCAGUGUGGGUCUCGGGGUGUCCCUGAGUACCGCGCGUUGGAUAUCGCGCGGGAAGCUGGGAGACAUUAGGCUUCCAACCCUAAAUACGUCCCGAGACCGAUAGCGAACUAGUACCGUGAGGGAAAGCUGAAAAGCACCCCUUGCGGGGGGUGAAAAGAGCCUGAAACCAGGCGGGCACGGAAUGGCACGGCCCGAAAGGUAACCACCCCGAAGGAAACUCCCGCGAGGGAGGAGUACGAGGGGUGGUAUGCCGGGGUCGUGCCGUCCGUUUCGAAAAACGGGCCGGGGAGUGUACGGGUGUGGCGAGCCUAAGGGGUUCAACCCCGGAGGCGUAGGGAAACCGACAUGCCCGCAGCCCUUAUGGGCGAGGGGCGGGGUCUUAAUGGGCCCGGAGUCACACCCGUACGACCCGAAACCGGGCGAUCUAGGCCGGGGUAGGGUGAAGCCCCCCAUCAGGGGGGUGGAGGCCCGCAGGGGUGUUACCGUGCAAAGUGCUCCUCUGACCCCGGUCUAGGGGUGAAAAGCCAAUCGAGCCCGGAGAUAGCUGGUUCCCCCCGAAAUAACCCGCAGGUUAGCCGGGGGUUAGGUAGAUGGCGGGGUAGAGCCACGGAUAGGGUGUUUAGGGGGCGAAAGCCCUCGGCACCCUGUCAAACUCCGAACCCGUCAUCGCCGUAGCCCCCGAGUGAGGGCAUACGGGUAAGCCGUAUGUCCGAGAGGGGAACAACCCGGACCCGGGUUAAGGCCCCUAAGUGCCGGCUAAGUGUAAAUGAGAAGGGAGUCCCUGGCCUAAGACAGCGGGGAGGUUGGCUUAGAAGCAGCCAUCCUUUAAAGAGUGCGUAACAGCUCACCCGUCGAGGUCAGGGGCCCCGAAGAUAACGGGGGCUAAGCCGGCCGCCGAGACCCGGGGGCGCCGAAAGGCGAUCCGGUAGGGGGGCGUCCCGCGGGGGCAGAAGCCCGGCCGUGAGGUCGGGUGGACCCCGUGGGAACGAGAAUCCCGGCAGUAGUAACAGCAAAGUGGGGUGAGAAUCCCCACCGCCGAAGGGGCCAGGUUUCCACAGCAACGGUCGUCAGCUGUGGGUUAGCCGGUCCUAACCCCCGGGGUAAUUCCCUUGGGGGGAAAGGGAAGCGGGUUAAUAUUCCCGCGCCACCGGGGUACGUGCGGCAACGCAAGGCCGGCUCCCGACGCUUCGGGGUAGGCCGACCACCCCCGUCGGGGUGGCCAAGCGCAUAAGCCCGGGGAGUGCCGUAAUGGCGAGAACCGGGCAAAAGCGUGAUGGGCCCUCCGUUAGGAGGGUUCGGCUGAGCCCUGGAGCCCGUGAAAAGGGAGCCGGCAAGGAUCCCCGGUGACCGUACCCAGAACCGACACAGGUGCCCCUAGGCGAGUAUCCUAAGGCGUGUCGGGGGAAUCCGGCCCAGGGAAGUCGGCAAAUUGGCCCCGUAACUUCGGGAGAAGGGGUGCCUGCGGUCUUCUCUAAAUGAGGGGACCGCAGGUCGCAGUGACCAGGGGGGCCCGACUGUUUAAUAAAAACACAGGUCUUGGCUAGCCCGUAAGGGUGUGUACCAAGGCCGACGCCUGCCCAGUGCCGGUACGUGAAACCCGGGUACAACCGGGCGAAGCGCCGGUAAACGGCGGGGGUAACUAUAACCCUCUUAAGGUAGCGAAAUUCCUUGUCGGGUAAGUUCCGACCUGCAUGAAUGGCGUAACGACUGCCGCACUGUCUCGGCCAGGGGCCCAGCGAAACUGUAGUCUCGGCGAAGAUGCCGAGUACCCGCGGUGGGACGGAAAGACCCCGUGGAGCUUUACUGCAGCUUGGCAUUGAAUCUUGGGGUAGGAUGUGCAGGAUAGGUGGGAGGCUGCGAAGCCGGGGCGCCAGCUCCGGUGGAGCCACCGGUGAGAUACCACCCUUCCUACCUCAGGGUUCUAACCUG
rnacentral:rRNA from 1 species